rnacentral:rRNA from 1 species
UACGAAGGGGGCUAGCGUUGCUCGGAAUCACUGGGCGUAAAGGGUGCGUAGGCGGGUUUUUAAGUCAGGGGUGAAAUCCUGGAGCUCAACUCCAGAACUGCCUUUGAUACUGAAGAUCUUGAGUUCGGGAGAGGUGAGUGGAACUGCGAGUGUAGAGGUGAAAUUCGUAGAUAUUCGCAAGAACACCAGUGGCGAAGGCGGCCAACUGGUCCGGUACUGACGCUGAGGUGCGAAAGCGUGGGGAGCAAACAGG